rnacentral:rRNA from 1 species
GAUACUACCCUAGCUGUGUUUUCUUUCUAACCCGCACCACUUAUCGUGGGGGGAGACAGUGUCAGGCGGGCAGUUUGACUGGGGCGGUCGCCUCCAAAAAGGUAACGGAGGCCCUCAAAGGUUCCCUCAGAAUGGUUGGAAAUCAUUCAUAGAGUGUAAAGGCAUAAGGGAGCUUGACUGCGAGACCUACAAGUCGAGCA